AUGUUCUGCAUGACAUUGGACUUGUUCUAUCAUUUGGUGGAUGAGCUGAAACAGCAUAGGUACUUGAAGGAAGGGAAAGGGCGUGUGGAAAUGCAAGAGUCCAUUGCCAUAUUCUUGUACAUUGUCAACCAUAAUACUCGGAUGCGACCUGCGGGUGACAGAUUCCAACAUUCUAUUAAAACUGUCAGCUGCAAGUUCCGUAGGGUGUUACGAGCUAUCCACACCUAUGGCCAACAUUUAAUCAAGCCUAAUCUGAAUGUGGUAGGCCUUCCAGAGCAUAUGUGGUUGAACAACAAAUACUACCCUUGGUUUGAGGUAAAUCAUUUCAUAAUACAAGUUCUUUCAAUGAGUAUUUUUGCACAUAUUACUAUUUUGUAUUCUGUCAUUCACAUAUAGAGAUGUUGUUUAUAAAUAAUUGGCUCUCUUCAAUGCAGAGAAGCAUAAAAGCUAUUGAUGGAAUGCAUGCUAGUGCUCGGCCUCCAAGUGAGAGAACCCAGUCUCACAGGAGUUGCAAGAGCGAUAUUACAACCAACGUUAUGUGUGCAUGCGACCAUGAUAUGAAGUUUACAUAUGUCCACUCUGGUUGUAAGGGAAGUGCCCAUGACUUUAAGGUGUUCGAAUAAGCUAUUAAAGACCCGAAACAUGGAUUCCCAUGGCCACUAGAAGGUAUGCGUCUUCAUGUUUUUAGUCUUUUUCAAUCAUAUGCUUCUGUUUAUCUAGCUGUUUGAAGUCUGUUGUCUAUUUAGUGCUAUUACAAGUUUGUUUACUGCUGGUAGUUGGUUGCCUAUUUAAUUUUGUUUUCCUUUUUUUUUUUUUUCUGUGCUGAAUUCUAUUCUAAUUUUGUUAUGUUCUAAUUCUGUUUGCUGUUUUUCAUUCUGUUUUUUUUUCUGUUCUGUUCUAAUUCUUCAUUUUGUUCUAUUCUGUUCUAAUUCUACAUUUUUACACAUGUGCCUAAUCUUCUCACAAUAAAUACUAAUUUUGCAUUCUGCAUUCUAAUUCUGCAUACUGCAUUCUGCAUUCUACAUUCUAAUCCUUCAUUUUGCAUUCUGCAUAAUGGGAAAUAAAAUGGAGCAUCCAAAUGGGAAAUCAAACAUGAUUCAGAAGAUCAGCAUAUAGAAUUAAGUCCUAGAUACAGCUUCAUGAAAUGCUUAACUUGAUGUCUCUCCUCAUAUGUUGCUUAGUAAUAGUAAUUAGCAUUGAUCAUAUAUUUAGGUUCUCCGCUGCAUUUGUACCAUGUUUCCUGUUUCUCUGCUAAGUUGCUACCAUUUCCUCUUAAUUUCAUUUGAGGACUAAGAAAAUGAAAUCCCUCACAAGUUGCAAAGAACUUUGUUUUGCAAAGAGUUCAGAGCCUUUAUACAGAUAUUGAUUCAAGAAUUUGUGUCAUACAAUGGACUUAAUUAUACUUUCUACUAACUUGAUCAUUCCAUUACAUACUCUAGCAAGCACUAGUUGAACUAAAGGAACAAACAACUCCUGCAGAACACACAAAACAUCACCGUUGUAGCCUUAACUGAUAAGCCUAUCUAGAGUAGUUACCUCGGCCAACCUCCAACACUGUACAAUCUAGAAUAGUUACCUUUCCACAGGAUAGCACCAGGAUUACAAUGUAUAGUUUUGAUUACUUUUUCAAAAAAAAUUACUUCUUCAUUCUCAAUGUAUAGUUUUGAGAAAAAGCAAGAUAUGAAUUUGUCCUGGUACCCUUUUGUCUAACUAUUCUACAGUUAUGACAAUUUCUAAGUACUUUACCUCAAUGGAAAAAACCAAAACUUAAGGUCAUGAAUUGUUGAGAUCAAGUUUCUCUUUGGUUUUCUCAACAAUAUCCUAUUGGUUUUUUUUUUCCCCUUAUUGUUUCUUAAAAUUUUAUAUUGAACAUUGAUAACAUUUUUAAUUUAUGAUUAUGUCUUAUUCUUUAUAUCCCAUUUACUAAGGAUAACUGCUUGAGUUCAUAAUUUUUAGUCAAGACUAAAAUUAAAUUAACAAGACUUAAACUUCUGUAGCUAAUGUGAGUGUUUGCUGUUGGUUUCAACGUAGCUAUUGAGUAGUUCUUUGUUUGUUUGGAUACAAGGGAAGUGAGUCAUGUGUAUUUGUAAAGUGUAUUUACUAAGUGAAGAGUUACUAGGUUUUUUUGUGGGUCUUGGUGGUUGGAAAAGAUUAGGAUUGGUUAUUCUGUAAUUAAGAAUUUGAAUUUAAAACAUGCAUUCACUAUACCUUACACUUGCAGCAGCCUUUGAGAAUAUUUCACCUGAACACUUUAUGUGGUAGCUUUUUAUUCCUUUUGCCUUCUUUUGUCUUCUUUUCCUUUAUGUAGGUUCCUAUUAUUAAUUGAGAUAUGUUAUUCUUGUAGGGUUCUAUUACUUGGUUGAUUCGGGGUACCCCAUUGGUGCAUCGUUUCUUCAAACACACAAGGCUACCCGAUAUCAUGCUCAGGAAUUCAAGAGGAGCAAUAGGCAACUGGCAUCGGGGAAAGAGUUGUUUAACUAUAUACACCCUUCAUUGCGCAUGGUAAUUGAGAGAUGCUUUGGAGUCCUUAAGACUCGCUUUCCCAUCUUGAGUUGCAUGGCGAACUAUAAGCAAGCUCGUCAAUGUUUGGUUGUUUCUACAUGUUGUGCGUUACACAAUUUUAUAUGCAUUAAUAAUUGUAGAGAUGAAAUAUUGAACUCAUGAGAGAAACUUGACAUUAAUAGAGAUGAUGUACAAGCUGGGAACAAUGAGAAUUCUCCUGAGUCGAGUGCAAGUGCUGAAAGGAGGCAUGUGAGGGAGAUGUCUGAUGCGGUAAAGAGGGCAAUGGAUGAGUUUAGGGAUGAUGUGACUGCCUACAUGUGGGAGGAGUACACGCGACGACGAGGUUGA
rnacentral:sRNA from 1 species